CAGAGCCAAGCCAGCCUUCCUGAGCACGCGCACCGCCUCUGGCCUGCUGCGCCAGGCUGGCCAAGGCGCCCCGCCUCCCUGGCCCCGAACCCCAGCUCACUGCUGCCAGUCCUACACCCAGCUGGGAGAGGGCACAGCGGCUCACCAAAGUCAGCCAGCUGCACAUGGCAGCUGGAUCAGGGGGUUCUGGUGCAGAAGAGGGCUACAAACACAUGUGGAUGGCCUGGAGAUAGCCACAGUCUGACAAGGGAGAGGGUCCCAGGGGCACUACUGCCACAUGUGCCACCUCCCUUCUAGGCUUUACUGUCCUUCUCUGGGACAUGGGACAGUAAUAGGAGGACCCCUGUGUCCUGUCCUGGAAGGAACCCCUUGUUCCACUGGGGGCAGGAGCACCAUGGGGUGCACCUGGGAGAGUAAGCCUUGUUGGGGAGCCCAGGCCAGGUAGGCAGCCCUCCCAGUCUCCCCGGCGGCGCUCGGAGAGACUGCUCCCAGUCUCUCUGCUGGCUUCUCCCUACCCCCGUCCCCUUGGCCACACACACACACACACACACACACACACCCCAUCUGGCCAGACAGCCUGCCCCCCAGGACCCUCCCUCUAGCAGUGGACUUUACCUGUGGCCCUCACCAGCCGUCAUCAUCUCCGGUGGCACAGCCCAUAGCCUACUGACCUCCUGUGGGCCUGGGAAUGGGUCCACACCUGACCAAGAGUGAGGAAGAGCUGGCCUGCGCCUGAUGGGCUCUGGGUGUGUGCUGCACACCAGGUGAGGCCUGUCCCCGUCGUCCCUAGACCAGCCCCUGGUGUGGCCCAGAACCCAGCCUCCCUGCCUGCAUCAGACCUUGUAGCUCGUUGGGCACACAUGGUGGGGGAGAUAAGCCCCCAGUCCCUGACGCCAGCUUCUUCCUGGACAGGAGUGACUGAUAAAUCCUCUGGCAGCCUGUGGACAGUGGGCACGGCAGCAUUUGAACCCAUGGCCUGUGCUUAGAACCACUGGCCACCCAGGGUACCAGCUGGGUACACAGUGGUGCUGUGUACAGGCCUCACACUGUCCUCUCAGGGUGACCAGCAAUACAGCACUGCCUUCCUGCCACGGCCUGUGGGCUCUGGACUGUGCACAGCUCACCCCCACGGAAGGGACGAGGAUGGGUCUGGGGUGGGGAGAGGAAGAAUGUGAAUGAUCCUGUUUUCCAAAUAUCUGCAGAACCCACACAGAGGCCUGACGUCGGGCACUCAGAGGAGGUGUAGC
rnacentral:lncRNA from 1 species